CAGACUGUUGUCAGGCUUGAGUUCCUCAAUAUAUCCAGCUCAUCGAUUUAGCUCUGGAUGUUUGUUGUAAGGGCUUUGUUACAUGUGUUAUCAUAACACAAACAGUUAAGGACAACUGAGCUUGUAGACAGCUUCAUUAGAAAUUUCUUACCCAGAAUCAAAGAUUUUACAUCCUAGGCCUGGAUGUGAACCUUGACCUGGACAAUCUUACAGACAAUAAUAGAAGAGUCACCUGAAAUUGCACAGGCAAAUUCAUCAGAUUCAGAUCCUGUCCUGCCAUCUUCAGGUAGACGCAGUAGUGGAUAUCCUGGCAAACCUUUAUUGGACUUA